AAGGCGGUAGGCUGUAGUCCUAUUUACAUUGGUUUAAUUCCUUUCUUUAUCA
rnacentral:tRNA from 1 species